GGGGGAAGGAAGGGAAGGAGGGGGAUGGGAAUGGGAAGGUCAGUAGAAUGAAUUGGACAUAACUUUCCUAUGUCCCUGUAGGAAUACAUGACCAGAAUAACUCCACAUCAUGCUCAACUACAAGAACGGGAAGUUACAUUCCAUAUGUGUAGAAAGUGUCAAAAUAUAUUCUACUGUCAUUUAUAUCUACAAAGAACAACUGGAAGGAAUGGGAAAGUUAUGUCUAAUUCAUUCUACUGUCCUUCCCAUUCCCAUCCCCCCUCUUCCCUUCAUUUGCCUU
rnacentral:miRNA from 1 species